UACGUAGGGUGCAAGCGUUGUCCGGAAUUAUUGGGCGUAAAGAGCUCGUAGGCGGUUUGUCGCGUCGGCUGUGAAAUCCCGAGGCUCAACCUCGGGUCUGCAGUCGAUACGGGCAAACUAGAGUAUUGCAGGGGAGACUGGAAUUCCUGGUGUAGCGGUGAGAUGCGCAGAUAUCAGGAGGAACACCGGUGGCGAAGGCGGGUCUCUGGGCAAUAACUGACGCUGAGGAGCGAAAGUGUGGGUAGCAAACAGG
rnacentral:rRNA from 1 species